GUGGCUAAGCUACUAAGAGCAAACGGCGGAUGCCUUGGUGUCAAGUGAAGAAGAAAGACGUGGAAAGCUGCGAUAAGCCUCGGUAAGGAGCUA
rnacentral:rRNA from 1 species